CUUUCUGUUUCAGGGUUUCCAAAUGUAAUUGGGUGAAUUGAUGGCACUCACAUUCCUAUUAAAGCUCCAUCAAUAAAUGAGGGAGACUAUGUUAAUAGGAAAUCUAUUCAUAGUAUCAAUGUGCAGGUAACAACUUAAUUUUUUCCCCUUCUUAAAAUCAUCAAAGUCAUUACUUUUUCCACUAACUAUAGGUAAUAUGUGAGGCAACCCAAAUCAUCACCAAUGUCGAGGCAAAAUGGCCAGGAUCUGUGCAUGAUGCCAGAAUUUUCCGCGAGUCAUCAUUAUGCCAGACAUUUCAGCAGGGACAGUACAAUGGUUACUUGCUGGGGGACAGAGGAUACCCUUGUCUGCCUUAUUUAAUGACACCCUACCCUGAACCUGAGCCUGGACCACAGACACUGUUUAACCUGGCUCACAGCCGAACACGGGCCAAGGUGGAGAUGACUGUAGGGAUCCUCAAAUCUCGGUUUCAGUGUCUGCGUGGGCUCCGGGUUAGUCCAGAGAGGGCAUGCGACAUUAUUGUGGCUUGUGUUGUGCUUCACAAUAUUGCCACUAUAAGAGGAGAGAGCCACCCUCCUUGUAUUGAGGAAGAUGGCCCAGAGGAACACCGACAGAUUUUAGAGGCCAACAGAGACGGAAGACUUUUGAGAGACAGGAUUUGUCAAAAUUACUUUUAUUAGUUUUUUUUGCACUGGUCUGCCAGGCAGUUUAUUUCUUCAUUUCCUGAAAAACAAUAAAAGUACAAUUCAUUAAAA